CACAGGGAGAGGAAAAACAGUCCAGCAGAACGAACACACAGACGCUUCAGACUCAUUUUCCUUCAGGUCUUUAUUUGAGUCAAAGUCAAUGGACUGAAAACAGAACAGAACCCACUGGACCAGAGGUCAGAGGUCGUAGCUGAACUGAAGGACAGACAUUAUGGACGCAUCAGCCCCAGUUCAAACCAAACAACCAGAGAAGAACCAACAGCACAGUGGGGAGGAGGAUCCGACCCAGUGCUACUGUGCCGAUCUGGGUGAAGGAGGGGGAGGAGGAGGAGAAGGGGGAGGAGGAGG